rnacentral:rRNA from 1 species
UGGGGAAUAUUGGACAAUGGGCGAAAGCCUGAUCCAGCCAUGCCGCGUGUGUGAAGAAGGUCUUCGGAUUGUAAAGCACUUUAAGUUGGGAGGAAGGGCAGUUACCUAAUACGUGAUUGUUUUGACGUUACCGACAGAAUAAGCACCGGCUAACUCUGUGCCAGCAGCCGCGGUAAUACAGAGGGUGCAAGCGUUAAUCGGAAUUACUGGGCGUAAAGCGCGCGUAGGUGGUUAGUUAAGUUGGAUGUGAAAUCCCCGGGCUCAACCUGGGAACUGCAUUCAAAACUGACAAGCUAGAGUAUGGUAGAGGGUGGUGGAAUUUCCUGUGUAGCGGUGAAAUGCGUAGAUAUAGGAAGGAACACCAGUGGCGAAGGCGACCACCUGGACUGAUACUGACACUGAGGUGCGAAAGCGUGGGGAGCAAACAGGAUUAGAUACCCAAGUAGUCCCUGAGCGGGCUGGCAAGGCGCAU